CGAUAUAUCGAUUUUGAGUUUUAAAGAUUUGUCAUUUACAAUUUACAAUAAAAAUGAAAAAAUUAUAGUGUUGUUUUAAAAAAAUAAAUAAUUUUUUUCAGGUACGUUAUAUUUUAUAUUUUUAAGUUCUUUUAUUCAUAUGAUAUUUAUUUAAGAAGUUAUUUCGAUUGUGCUUACUUUAUCUACGAAGUUCUUAAUCUAUUAGGUUAUGUUUUAGUUUGUUUUAAGUAAGGUUAUCUUUUCGUUUCUUAUUUUCAUUUCCAAAGAAAUAUUUAAACGGACAAUAAUUAUUCUGUUCGUUAAUAAUUUCGCAGAUUGAUAAGUUUAUACAUUUACAAAUGAGAGAUAUAUAAAAAAUAUAUUAUUUACAUGAUAUAAUUUUCAAUAAUUUUUAAUGUAUAAGUUAUUUAGUUGCUUAUAAUUUUUUAGUAAGAUUAGUCUACAACGUGUAUGUAUUAUAAAACUAUAGUUUUUAGUACAUUAUAACUUAUAUAUAACUUACAUGGCACAAACGUUUUUUUCUGCAACAUUAAAUCAUCCCCUAUAUAUUUUAACCCCUUUGAAAGGGGCACCAGUCACCCCUUUAAUUCCUAAAAAAGGGGUACCAGUCACCCCUUUAAUUCCUAAAAAAGGGGUGACUGAUGAAAAAGGAUAUUGCAGCUGGAAAGAUAUUGACUAUGUGUUUCUAAUAGUUUUGAUUUAUUUCAAUGCUUUUUUUGUGAUUAAUUUCAUUGUAAUGUGACAUAGAUACGUAAAAAUAUAUCACUAUAUUUUCAUUAAAAGGACAAAAGCUUCAUGAAAGCAAAAAAUAUAUAAAAUAUUAGAAUGUAUUAUGAAUUUGACAAUUCUUUCUCUUAUAUUCAGUUAGAAUUCACAAGACACACCCUUUUAGCUCUGGGAUUUGGAGUAUUGCAACGGAGCAUGCUCCAUCUUAACGUUUCAGCCUGCUUUUUAGAAUCCAUCUACCCUUUUCAACGUUGUCGAUGGUAGAUACGAUCCCUUCUUUUUUUCCCACUUGGAAUCUGUAGGACACACCCCUUUUAGCGUGGGAUUUAGAAUAUUCCAAUGGAGCAUGCUCCGUCUGUAAACCACCACAGUCUGUAUUGUAAAAGCAGUUCUCCCUUUCUAUCAUUUGUGAUAGAGAAUCCACUCCGAAGGAUUGGUUGGGAAUUCCCUAUGAUUGGUCAGGGAUGCUCUGGGAGGUGUUGAGUAUAUCCUAGCAUAACUGUUCUCCGUAGCAAGUGCAGGAGGAAAGAUCAGUUUAGCUGAGACUAGCGUUGAGUUCACUUCAUAUUGUGUUGUUUAACUACUGGUAUAAGAACUAAGGAGAUUAUCUGUUAUAAUGUGUUGCAUUUAUAAACUUAAUAAUAGUGUGUGUCAGUGUAUUAAUACAUUAAAAUAUUUGAGUAUUGUUUAAAUAUAACAUUUACUCAUAUAUAUAUUUUUAGUUUACAUAAAAGUAAUUUAUUUUGAUUCAAUGAUUCAAAAUGAAAGUGAAUGCAAAGAAAGUUCAGAAGUUUUAAUAUAAAUUUCAUCUUUUGUAUUUCUAUUCCAAUACCUGUAAUUAUUUGUGAAAUAUAGUGUUUUAUAUUAUAUUUAUUUUCAUGUCUCAAGAAUAAGUAACGAGUACAAUUCAUUUUUUACAAAAAUAUAUUUAUAUAAACAAGAAAAAUAAAGAAUAUAUUGGUGAUUUUUUUUUAUUUACCUUUCAGUUUAUUUUGAUCUAUAUGCUUCUUCAUACAGCAAUGUUUUGUUUAGCAUUAUCAUAAUCAUGGUAUCAAAUAAAUUCAUAUGUUUAUAAACAAGUUGAUCAGAUUUAAUCGUUAUGUAUAAAUUAUUGCAUAAACAUUGAUGUCAGUGAUAUCAAGAUUUUCAAUACAUACAAAAUUCAGAACAGGUUCAUAGAUGCGGAGGAUUUCAAGGAUCAGCUAGGCGUUAGGUGAUUUCGUAUAAGAAACCAGGGAGCCAUGGUCACCUCGAUUAAUUCUUUAUCGAUUCGACGCGGCGCGAGGAGAGGCACAGCAAAAACCUCUUCACCAUGGGGAUGCAAACGACCAGAUGGAUGAUCGACGAAGAAAUCGACGGUUUUUGUUACGAAUCGAACCUUUCCGUAGCGACAUGCCGAGUAAUUUGAAAGAAAAGUGCAAUGACGGAUUUCGGAUCUGCAUUUAUUCAUGGAUCGAGUUCCACUGAACGUUUCCAGGGAUCGAUGGAUGCAGAAUCGAGUCGAAGAAUGCUGUGGAGUAAGAAGGCAGACGAAGAAGAGAAGCAACGGAACGCGGAAAAUAGGUGGGACGAGCGGAGAAACAAAUCGUAAUGACCGAGGCUACGGAGAAGGGUACAGUUACGGGGAAAUAUUCCCACGACGAGCGGAGACUCGUUCGACUUCUCAACCGUGUUCGAUCUAAUUUCUGACCGAUACGGAUUCAGAGAUUCGAUGACCAUUUUGCGAAGACGUGAUACCUGCAGAACACAUGUAGAUGCUGUGAAACGUGUUUCACGCGUUCAGCGUGGGAUUUGAUACGAGGAACGCACCAGAAAGGGGAGAUAAUUCAAUUAACACAUCGAGGAACGGAUUUUAAAGAGGACAAUGUCUAAAUCGCCACUGUUGUCGCAUUUCCUGUAAGAUUAUGACCCGAACGGUCUUACAAGAAUCUGUUUACACGACGAUCACACAAAUAGCCACCGAUUCUCACCGAUUACGACACCAUGAAGCAGUCUGUAACUGCAUCCGGAAGUCGGUGAUGGUGGAAGAAUAAUACAGCGAACCAAUAUUCGAAGAACCAUCGUUACAACUACAAUUCUAGGAAAUGUUACGAGAUGAACAAUUUUCAGUGGAAAAAUGUCGCUGUUGGAGAAAAGAUAUAUACAUCUUUGUAUUCAAUGGAAGCAAAUGUUCGAAAUUUCACAAUCUUCUUGUUACUCACGAAUGAAAUACGAGGAAAUUAUAGCUAAAAAAUUAAAAUUGUCGCGUUGGUAAAAUAACUACAAUUUUUCUGUAAAUACACGUUUAGAGAUCUUAGGUUCUCGAAAUAUUAUUACCAAAGUUAAAACAUUCUUCGAACAUUUCGAAGCAACAGUGAAAUUAAGAUAUAAAGAUUCGAGGACAGCAGGAUUGCAACAUAUAAAAAGUUUCCCUCGCGUUGUUUAACCUCGAUGCAACAACGUCUGGGCCAUGAUGGCUACCGCAAGAAGUGGAAGAAGGACCAAGAGAUUCGAAGAGGAUCGCAAUUUCCAUCGGACUGCCUCGUAAAUCCCAAUAUUAUUCUGAAAAACGCCACAAUAAAGUAACGCCGCGGCGGGGCGAGGUUAGUUAACGCCGGGAACUGGUUUUCGUCCGAUCGUUUCAGCCAUUAACGAUAAACAACUUGCAUUCCCGUGGAAAUCGGUGAAAUACACGCUCGCGAGCGGCCUACACGCUCCGCUAAUAGGAAAGCGAUUUAUGUCCUAGCGCCUUCGUCGUAUUUAUUAUCGCGUCGAUACCGUCGUAUUUAUUAGAUUAUUUUCGCGAGAUAUUCCUUCUCGUAAGGAUCGCACCGCGGGUAUGUACGCUCGGUAAUAAGUUAAUUAGGGCCGAGUGAUUAAUAGGGACGAUCUCGUCCGUGUAAAUUAGAUGUCUGAUAGUCUCAUAGUUGAUUUCAAGCAUCGUUGCUAUUUUCUAUAUUUUCCGUACAACGUGCUUUUUCUUUAACUCCUUCACUCGAGAUGUAAAAUUAUUUUUGUCACUAGCUAAAAAUAUAUUCUUAUUUUGGAACUAUUCCGAAGUGUAUUAUAUAUAGUAAGAUAGUAAUAUACGGAGUGUAUAAUAUAACAGUAAUACAUUUCAUAUGAAAUAAAAUAUUUGUACAAUUUUCAACGAAACAUUCUGUCUGCAAUUUAACAUUCCUACAUCGUGGAAUGAUUAAUCGCAUAGAGGAACUGUGUUCUGUUUCUCGUUGAUAGUUUAAGUAUUCCUACGAAGUCUCGUUCUGUCAGCAACAUUCGAUACUCGGUGGAUAAACGAUAUUACAUUAGCGAGCUACGCAAACAUUUGUCAAUAUUUCGGCUACAGUGACGCGUGUUCCGCUUCCCGUUCCUCACCGCUCUCCGUUGUUUACUCGAGGUUGUCUUGACGCACAGGUCACAUCUUCGUGACGCGCUCUUCGAUCAGUGAAACACCCUCCCUCGAUCAUCGUUCGAGGAUCGUCCAAGCUGACAGUGUAUUCCACAGAGCAAUGUAACUAUAACUAAAUGUCUAGCAUUAUUUUCUGAAUAUCAAAUAAUCAACAAAUUAUAAUCAUUUCAGGUAACGUUUCGUAUAUUCUGGAUAUUAUCAUGAAGGGAACAUUAAUCAAUUCACGAGGAAUACUCGAACUGGAACGAUCGCGUGGGCGAUAUUAGGUGCCCACCAUUAGAGAAGGAACGUUUACAUUUGCCGAGUAGUAAGCAGCAAUAAAUAUUUGUCGUCUGACUGUCGAUCGGGACCAGUAUGCGACACAUGGCCUCACGUUUACUGUCGUUGCAGCUGUAAGUGCUCUCUCGCACGUUAUACCGCCAUACCUUGCAUUCAUCGUUUCAGGAUUGUACCAAGUAUUAAACAUGGACACGAUGGUGCCUUGAAUCGUAAUGAAAUAUCUCGGUGUCCCAGAAACAUGAAUCAGGACACUGUAUGUAUUAGACGUCCAAGUGUCACGGAAAGCGUAACCAACCGUCGAAUCGAUUUCAAGCGUUCUACGACAAAAGGACCAAUUUAGAGCGAUUCCGUGGAUCUAUCGGACCACCGCGUUGAGCAACUCUCACGGCUCCAUCGCGUGGAGCAAGAAGCCGGAAAGUCGCGGAGCUAGGCGGCCGUCAUUGAUCUCCUGUUAGAAUCGAAUCACUUCGAUGUAACAAGAUAAAUAGUCAGCGGGAAACCUUGGAUCCGAGGGCGCGGAUCGCGUAGUCAUGCUGACUGUUCGAUAUCUGUCGGUUGUUGGCGCGAGUUCCUCUGACGCGACGAGGAAGGCGGUUCAAUGCGUGAGCGCGAGGUAUCGAAGCUGCGACUGUGUAUACCGGACAACUUGACAGCACAUGGCUGCCAAUUUUCUCUGCACGCCGAGAGGAAACGCGUGACACUGCUUCAGAGCACCUCGUAGACGCGAGUUUGACACGAGCUUUGGAAAACUACCAUACUCUUUAUAUAGCUUUCAUGGGAUGGCCCAUGAUCGUAGAAUCGUUGGCUCUUCCUUGGAAUGUGAUCUUUUAAAGUUUCGCAAUAUUUUUUUUUACGUUGUUCAUAUAGAGGUUUCGCACAGGUUUCUGUAUGAUUUUUCUCGCCUUUUACUUGCUCAGGUUAUUCGUUUUAUUUGUUACGAUUUGUAAAAGUAUUUGUUACAUCUGGUAUUUUCGUAGGAUUGUAAUUUUUACAUCGUAUGUAUAUAGGUUUUAUAACGUAGGGUUCAUAACUGAUUAAUCGAAAAUUCUUUCGAAAUUUUUAAUCAGGAUCAAAAUCUCGGAUCAAAAGAUGAGAAGUCCUUUUCGU